rnacentral:rRNA from 1 species
UACAGAGGUGGCAAGCGUUGUUCGGAAUUACUGGGCGUAAAGGGCGCGUAGGCGGUCUUGUCAGUCCCUUGUGAAAUCCCCCGGCUCAACUGGGGAACUGCACGGGAAACAGCAGGGCUUGAGUUCGGGAGAGGGAAGCGGAAUUCCGGGUGUAGCGGUGAAAUGCGGUAGAAUAUCCGGAGGAACACCGGUGGGCGAAGGC